rnacentral:lncRNA from 1 species
AGAGUCACUUCACCGACCAGACGCCGCGGCCACCGCCGACGCCGCCGCCAUUUUAACAGAGCGCUCGGGCUGCGCUCGGCUCUUUCCGCCCGGGCUUAGGAGCGGACGAGAGGCGCCUCGCGCUCUCAUUCCUCCGCCUCCCUCCCUUUCUCGCCUCUCCUCCGCCCCCCACCUCUCCCUCCGCACACACGCCGCACGCUCCACACCCCGCCGUGGCCGGCUCGCCGCCCUCCCUUUCCUCUUCCGUCCGGCCUCCCCGCCCUCGGUCCACCCCCUCCGCGCGCUCGCCCACCCCGCCCAGCCCGGAUCUCUGUCAGCGGCCGGAAGGGAAACGCGAAGCCAGCGCGGCCGCGGGGGGAGUCCGGGUGAGUAGGAGAAGAUGGCGGAGGCAACGGACGGGUCGCGGUUGCGUGGCGUCGCCCACCACGACCCACUCCACGGGCUCUGAGGCCCGGGGAGCGCCAGGUCACUCGCUCCGUCCUGUCCCCCGCCCCUGGGCUUCGCCAUUUUUCCCCAGGGCCUGGGUCGGGGAGUUGGUGCGGGUUUCUUUGGUGUCCCCGGCCUCUUCCGCGCUUAGGCUUUUGGGGUACGGGAAGCAAGGAGUCAACUUGGGUGCCGGGCCGGGUCUACGCCGUAGCCCUCUUUCGGGCGCAAGGGCCACUCCCCCCGGGGUCUGAGAGUGAAUCAGCCCAGGGCCCGGCUUAACUGCAUCGGUGAUUAUCGCUACCCUGCAGUUCCUUGAAGGUCCUCCGUCCUGGAGCAGUAAGAUCCUUGACGUAACUAGAAAUGGCAGGACGGAGUCUCGCUCUGUCACCCAAGCUGGAAUGCCGUGGCGCAAUCUUAGUUCACUGCAACCUCUGCCUCCUCGGUCCAAGCCAUUCUCCUGCCUCAGCCUCCCGAAUAGGCAAAUGAAUAAAAGAACAUCUUUUAUUUACCCGUAUCUGCGACAUUCCUCAUAGUAUGUUUGAAAGCCCAAAUGAUGGAAUCCAAAACAAGUUUAAACUGUGUAGGUGGAAUAGCAAGGAAUGCUGGGAAACAAUGAGAAUUGACAGCCUGAAGUAGUAAGAAAAAGUUCGUUCUAUGUUCAGGAUAUUCUUCAAAGUCCUAAAAAUAAGUGGUGGAAACAAAA